GUUUCGGGUGAAACCACAAUGGCCACCGUCUCAUUCCUUUGCUCUUUCCUCCGUCAUUGUUGCCAUUUUUGGCAAAAGGUCAGGUGUACAACAACUUUUGCAGACCUGGCAUGGUUGAUUGGGAUGUUUGCCUCCUCUCUCCACCAAGUCUCAACCAAACAAGGUAUUAAACCCUCUCUUUCCUUAUCUUUUCUGCAUUUUAAGCUCAAACAAGUAUGUUUUCUUAAUGGCUUUUGUCCAUAUCUGAUUUUGAAUACUUGAAUCUGAUUGGUUGAUUGUUAGUUUGAGAGGGAAUUCAAUAGAAUUUCCCCCAAAUCCCAUUGUCCCACAUCGAAAUUCAGGACUAGGGUUUUUAGAUUUGGGGUUUUAUAUAAAGAACCCCCUAUCUUACAAUCCCAUUCAUUAAUAUUCAUACAUAAAAAGCCUCAAAUUUAGAGAAAAUAGGUUCAAUAUACCUAGGGAUCUAGCAUUUUUGCUGGAACCUUUAACUUAUUAGAUCUUUUAGUAAAAUAUUAGGCUGAGUUUCAGGUGUUGAGGAGUUCAAGAGAUCUCCAAUUUCAAUUCUCGAUAAAGGACUGCUCACAGAAAAGGUACAGGUAGACAGACAGGUGGUCCAGCUUAGCAGGACUUUUAUCCAGCAGCGAUUAGUGCACUCCAUUUGAUCGGGAGUUGCAGUCUAUUUUGGUAUGCCAUUCUUUUGAGAUGUAUAUAGAUGGGUAUGACGAGGCCCUGUCCCGUCCUUUCCAUAGCUUUUAUUCAAGUAGAGGUCUGUAGAUAGUUGUAUGUAUUAGUUAGAUGAUGUAGCCUUGUCGGCUUCCAUUAAUUUGUGUAUAGUAUAUGUAGCAGCCUAGCUAGCUUGCACUGUUCUUUCAGUAUGUAAUGUAUAUACAGAUUGUUCAGAGUUCAUGAUAUCACCUAUUUAUGAGGUCAGUUU